rnacentral:lncRNA from 1 species
GGAGUCUUCACUCUCUUCUAUACCUAUUAUCCUUAGGUUUGAUCGUCUCAUUGAGUCCUGGAUUUCUUGUAUGUUUUGGACCAGUAGCUUUUUCUGCUUUACAUUAUCUUUGACAGUUGAGUCAAUGAUUUCUAUGGAAUCUUCUGCUCCCGAGAUUCUCUCUUCCAUCUCUUGUAUUCUGUUGGUGAAGCUUGUAUCUACAGCUCCUUGUCUCUUCUUUUGAUUUUCUAUAUCCAGGGUUGUUUCCAUGUGUUCUUUCUUGAUUGCUUCUAUUUCCAUUUUUAAUUCCUUCAACUGUUUGAUUGUGUUUUCCUGGAAUUCUUUCAGGGAUUUUUGUGUCUCCUCUCUAUGGGUUUCUACUUGCUUAUUUAUGUUUUCCUGGAAUUCUUUCAGGCAUUUUUGCGAUUCCUCUCUGUAGGCUUCUACUUGUUCUCUAAGGGAGUUCUUCACAUCUUUCUUGAAAUCCUCCAGCAUCAUGAUCAAAUAUGAUUUUGAAACUAGAUCUUGCUUUUCUGGUGUGUUUGGAUAUUCCAUGUUUAUUUUGAUGGGAGAAUUGGGCUCCGAUGAUGCCAUGUAGUCUUGGUUUCUGUUGCUUGGGUUCCUGGGCUUGCCUCUUGCCAUCAGAUUAUCUCUAGUGUUACUUUGUUCUGCUAUUUCUGAUAGUGGCUAGACUGUCCUAUAAGCCUGUGUUUCA